rnacentral:rRNA from 1 species
UGGUUAAGUGUAACCUACUUCAAUUUUAAAUUUCUUACAUUUUACUUUUAUCCACCAAAAAAAAUUAAACCAUUCACCUAUUUAGUAAUCUUGAGUGAAAAACAACUUAUAUUUAAGUACCGAGAGGGAAUGAAUCAUAACACUAAUAGUAGAGAUAAAAUCUCGUACCUUUUGCAUCAUGGGAAAACAAGAAUUUUCUUUAAAUCUAAAUCACCCGAACUUUAAGUGAGCUACUCUGUAGAAUAGACGCAAUGUUGCAAAAUUGUUGUCAACUACAUAAUAGAUGCUAAAUACUUACCGCACUAAAAGAUAGCUGGUUACUCAGAAAAAAUAUAAAAGUAUCCCCUUUUCCUCAAGAAAAGAGACAGUAACAGAAGGAUAAGCUUCUGUUAUAUCAACGGAUCAAGACUACUAACUUUCUAAAAGUAGGAAUAAAAUUUUCCACCAUCAAUUUUGUUAUAAAAUAUAGAAUAGUAACCAGAGAAUAAAUUUAGCCAACCCUUGAUUAUCACUGAGUCAUAUAGAAUAACCAAACACCUAACUAUAUAACUGAUGUUUUCACAAGUAUUUUUACACUUAAUAAUCUUUUCUUAAAAUAAAAGUUUAUAAAUCAACCUAAUCAUCCAAAUAUAUAUAAGGAACUCGGCAAAUCUACUACUCCGCCUGUUUAUCAAAAACAUGUCUCUUAGGAAAUAUUAAGAGUCAGGCCUGCCCAGUGAUUACUUUAACGGCCGCGGUACCCUGACCGUGCAAAGGUAGCAUAAUCAUUUGCCUUUUAAUUGGAGGCUAGUAUGAAUGGUCUAACGAGAGUAAAACUGUCUCAUAUAUAUUUAACAGAAAUUAACCUAAAGGUGCAAAGGCCUUUAUUCAUCAAAAAGACGAGAAGACCCUGUUGAGCUUUAAUCUUAACGAGCAUUUUCUUUAUAUUCAUAAAUUUAUUUUGCCCGCUAAAGAUUUUAAUUGGGGCGAUUAAGGAACACCUACCAGCUUCCUGAGUUUAUCCAAAAAUAUUCAUAAAUUAAAUCGAUCCAACAAUGUUGAUCAACAAAACGAGUUACCACAGGGAUAACAGCAUAAUUCUUCUCAAGAGCCCAUAUCGAAAGAAGAGAUUGUGACCUCGAUGUUGGACUAGGGUAACCAGAAGGUGCAGCCGCUUUCUUGUUUGGUCUGUUCGACCAAUAAUUCCCUACAUGAUCUGAGUUCAGACCGGCGUAAGCCAGGUCAGUUUCUAUCUUUUAACCAAUACAAAUUUAGGCUAGUACGAAAGGACCGCUUAAAAUAAAUAAUUUAUCAUAAAGUGAAAUAUAAUCUAACUAAACCUU